rnacentral:lncRNA from 1 species
CCCUGGCUGUGCCGUGCCAUGGAGCAGCAGUUUGGAAAAGUGCUCCUGCUCCACUGAGCCUGGCCCCUUCCAUGCCCUGCCAGCCCCAGUGAGCUCUUCUCUUUUGCUACUUCUGGACUCUGCCAGCACAGCACCACCACCUGCGGUAAUCUCCCGAGCAUCUGCCACUGGAGGUGACUCACCUGGGGCUGCUGUCACCAAACAGCUUAUCAGAGCUUUCCCAACGGUCCUGCUGCUGCCAGACUGCGGAGCACCCACGGCCUGCAACUCCUCAGGGAGCUGUGCCAUCCUUGUGGCAGCUCACCCCUGCCAGCAGGGAUCCUGCCCGCUCCCACAGCCUGGCCAGGGAUCCACCUGUGGCUCUGCAGGUAAGGGGCACCCUCCCCACACUCACACUGAGGAUCCAGCCCCCCUGGGGGUGUGGGGACCUCGUCUGGCUGUGUCCUCAGCCCUCGUGCUCCAUGUGGUGCCCACAGAAUGUGGGAUGUAGGGUCCAGCCAGAGGCUGCCUGUGCUACUGUGGCAGAUUUCGGCUUGAACGAUGUUUUGGGCUGCAGCAGGGGGAGCUGGGCAGAGCUUGGGUCCCUGGUGCACCUGGCAUGUCCUGGCAGCCUCCCCAGAGCAUGCCAGAGCCAGCCCUGCUGCCGUGGAAGGAUGUGCUGCACGACAGGAGCAGCUCUUCCUCCUCUGAGGAUCCGAAGGCUCUGAGGAAGCAGCUCAGGUCUGCAGAUGUUGUGUCACAGCCCCGAGCCUCCGGGGCUUUGCUUCCUGGAGUGCAGCUGCGUUUGCAGCCAGUCACCCUGCCCUGCUCGCAGAGCCUGGCGUGACACAGGUUUCCGAGCAUCUGCCUCCACUGGGGUCAGGCACAGGUCAGGCCGGGCUGAGCCAGGGCUCUGAGUGAGCACCAGCAUCCCUGAGCCACACGGACAUCCUUGUACCCUGCACUGCCCGGCAAGGAGCGGUCCCAGGCACUGGGGAACUGCAAUUCCCAUUGUCCCCUCUGUGUUCUGCUGGCUCUGCAGCCCCGCAGGCCCCCGGCAUCGCCCCUGCUCUUGGCUCCGAGCUGCUCGCCCUGGGCAGGGCUGCUCAGGGCUUGGCUCCUUCCCUGGCCGCCCACUGCCACUGAUGUGGGGCACGGCAGGGUCGGAGGCUGUGCCUGGCAAAGCAGGGAGGAGUUUUGCCCCGGCUGCCCAGUUUCCAGCUGUUUAGGGUUAUACCUGUUUGUCACUUUUCCCUGCAGCCACAGGAGGUGGAUUUCCCCCUCUCUACAAACAGUUGAGUCCCAAGGGACGCUCUGGUUUGGGGCUUGGAGAUCAAACAGAGCUUUGGACCAGUGGGCCAGGACUGGUGCCCAGCCUCGCUGCAGCGAGGCAGCUGUGUCACCAGGAGACGAGGGGACAGGCAGGACGUGCCAGGCUCCAGCACAGACAGGGCUCUGCAGCAGCAGCCUCCAGCCCGGGAUAACCGGGAGCAGCUCCCGCGGCACAACAGCGGCACAUGGACCCCCGGACAGGUGAGUGGUGGCUUUUUCCCCCCUCGAGGGGCAGAGGUGGGAUGUUCACGGCAUG